UAGGGAAUCUUCCGCAAUGGGCGAAAGCCUGACGGAGCAACGCCGCGUGAGUGAUGAAGGUCUUCGGAUCGUAAAACUCUGUUAUUAGGGAAGAACAAAUGUGUAAGUAACUAUGCACGUCUUGACGGUACCUAAUCAGAAAGCCACGGCUAACUACGUGCCAGCAGCCGCGGUAAUACGUAGGUGGCAAGCGUUAUCCGGAAUUAUUGGGCGUAAAGCGCGCGUAGGCGGUUUUUUAAGACUGAUGUGAAAGCCCACGGCUCAACCGUGGAGGGUCAUUGGAAACUGGAAAACUUGAGUGCAGAAGGGGAGAGUGGAAUUCCAUGUGUAGCGGUGAAAUGCGUAGAUAUUAGGAAGAACACCAGUGGCGAAGGCGACUUUCUGGACGAACACUGACGCUGAGGCGCGAAAGCCAGGGGAGCGAACGGG
rnacentral:rRNA from 1 species